CACUACCCGCUCUAAAAUAUUUUCGAGCGGUUAUCGGUCCGAUGUCGACCGAGCGCCAUAAAGUGCUACAAAAAUGCCGUAAUCUAACCCCGCUUUGCCCCCCGCAAACAGCACUGCCUACAGCUUCGGUUAUAAAUAUUCGCGAUAACGUGUACUGAGCGAAACGGCAUCACUGCAGCGAUUGCGUUCUCUCUCACACUGAACUGUCAGUCAUAUAAACGAAAACGAAAGGAGCGAACGGAUUAAAGAAUUAGCUUGGGCAACUGACAGUGAUAUGAUGGAUGAGAAAUAAUGGGCAGAAUUUAUGGAUAACCAACGGGUACUGCAAUAGUACUUCGCAGUAGUGAAAAAGCGUCGGAUAUCAUGGAUUCAAAGGCCCAUCGCUACAGUUACCGAUCCUCAAAUUUGCAACUUCGUUGGCAGCUGGUAUAGGACGAUUGCAUCAAACACCCAUCGAUGAUGCUAUCAACAUCCCGGAAUUCCGCUGGAUAGGGUUAUUCAGUUUUCAGUGAAAAUUUGAUUCGUUCAUACCGGUGAACCAUUGCAUUGGAUGGUGUCGUUACACACUGUCGUCUGAAAUGAAGCUUUACUCGUAUCAAAUGUUUCUACAGAAAGCAUAUUCAUCGGACGGCAAUUCUGGAAAUGUUCUCUCUGAAUGGUAUAGCAUAUUAUACUUUGUUUCAAGGAAAAACUGAUUCGUUCAUUAUAUGGUGUAGUAUAGUAUAGCUCUAAUGUUAUAAAUGUAGUACAGCCUUGUGUCCGUCAAUGAUAUACAAUAUGUAUUGUAAAUAAAUUAAAUCAUUUCC